AAAAUAUUCUCAAAUUUUAGUUUUGUGCCAAAAUUUGGAUCAUGUCAAGGAAGCUAUUACUAUUAUUGUGAUCGCUCUUUGGAAAUUAAUAGGUCUUUGAGUUACUACUCAUAGAACGUGAUGAAUCUUUCUUCGUUCUAUUGUAGUUCACUCUGGUAGUCCUAAAACUUGUAUGCCUGUAGCAUAUCUUGUA
rnacentral:misc_RNA from 1 species